GCUCAGUUGGUUGAGUGUUGGACUCUUGAUUUUGGCUCAGGUCAUGAUCCCAGGGUUGUGGGAUUGAACCCCACAUUGGGCU
rnacentral:tRNA from 1 species